rnacentral:lncRNA from 1 species
UAUCUCCCAAGAUUUAAAAUUAUAACUAUUCAUUUUUCAGUUCAGAGAAGAGGCGAAUCGAUCAACAAGUUGAAGAAGUGGGGAAUGCACAAUGAAGGCAUAUGUGAAACAGUCACAGAAUCCUCUCACUGGCAAGUUACUCUACUAAAGAACAUGAAGACCUGUUACUCCAAUGGGACAGUACAAUUGUUAAACUUUCAUCCUUGAGGACCUGAGAUGAUAUAACUCGUGGGAGUGAAUGGAUAAAGAUGUGUCAAGUACCUGUUAUCUUCUGAAAACUAAGUGAGAACUGAGAAGGGACAAGCUAAUUCUGUAAGGUCGGGAGUUUAUUUUUGUUGUGUUUUGUUUUACUU